rnacentral:rRNA from 1 species
CGCUGGCGGCGUGCCUAAUACAUGCAAGUCGAGCGGAUGAUGGAGGAGCUUGCUCCUCCUGAUUCAGCGGCGGACGGGUGAGUAACACGUGGGCAACCUGCCCUGCAGAUUGGGAUAACUCCGGGAAACCGGGGCUAAUACCGAAUAAUCCACCGGACCUCAUGGUCUGGUGUUGAAAGACGGCAUCGUCGCUGUCACUACAGGAUGGGCCCGCGGCGCAUUAGCUAGUUGGUGAGGUAACGGCUCACCAAGGCCACGAUGCGUAGCCGACCUGAGAGGGUGAUCGGCCACACUGGGACUGAGACACGGCCCAGACUCCUACGGGAGGCAGCAGUAGGGAAUCUUCCGCAAUGGGCGAAAGCCUGACGGAGCCGACGCCGCGUGAACGAAGAAGGCCGUGAGGUUGUAAAGUUCUUUUCGGGAGGGGGAACAACCGUGGCAGGGAAUGGCCGCGGGAUGACGUGAAUCCCGGAAUAAGCCCCGGCUAACUACGUGCCAGCCGCCGC